AACGAACGCUGGCGGCAGGCUUAACACAUGCAAGUCGAGCGCCCCGCAAGGGGAGCGGCAGACGGGUGAGUAACGCGUGGGAAUCUACCCAUCUCUACGGAAUAACGCAUGGAAACGUGUGCUAAUACCGUAUACGUCCUUCGGGAGAAAGAUUUAUCGGAGAUGGAUGAGCCCGCGUUGGAUUAGCUAGUUGGUGGGGUAAAGGCCUACCAAGGCGACGAUCCAUAGCUGGUCUGAGAGGAUGAUCAGCCACACUGGGACUGAGACACGGCCCAGACUCCUACGGGAGGCAGCAGUGGGGAAUAUUGGACAAUGGGCGCAAGCCUGAUCCAGCCAUGCCGCGUGAGUGAUGAAGGCCCUAGGGUUGUAAAGCUCUUUCACCGGUGAAGAUAAUGACGGUAUCAGGGGAAAAAGCACCGGCUAACUUCGUGCCAGCCGCCGCCGUAACAC
rnacentral:rRNA from 1 species